rnacentral:misc_RNA from 1 species
UGUGGGAGCGGGCUUGCUCGCGAAGGCGUUGGGUCAGCCUAAGUAUUCAGUGACUGACACUCUGCCUUCGCGCGCAAGCCCGCUCCCACA